rnacentral:rRNA from 1 species
UACGUAGGUGGCAAGCGUUAUCCGGAUUUACUGGGUGUAAAGGGCGUGUAGGCGGGAAAGCAAGUCAGAUGUGAAAACCAUGGGCUCAACCUGUGGCCUGCAUUUGAAACUGUUUUUCUUGAGUACUGGAGAGGCAGACGGAAUUCCUAGUGUAGCGGUGAAAUGCGUAGAUAUUAGGAGGAACACCAGUGGCGAAGGCGGUCUGCUGGACAGCAACUGACGCUGAGGCGCGAAAGCGUAGGGAGCAAACAGG